AUGUCUUGCUCAUGCAAUGGCAAUAUGUGGGAUGAGGACUUACCUGCCCAUUCUUACGACUCUGGGGUUGAGAGGAAUUUCAAACUGGAUACAACAGGUGGCGUACAAUGGAGCUGCUCUGUGUCCCAACACUUACUGCUGGUCGAACCGGUACCAUCUAACCUCGAACCAAUUAACCACACCCACUGCCGACGCCUGUUAUUCGGAUCAGGACAGACUGAACCAAAAAAAAAUAAUUAUUUGAAAGUAACUGUUCAGUGAAAAUGUCCUGUUAACACACACCCAAAUAAUGUUGACUGAUAUACUCGUAUGUGGCCAAAGCAUAAAUUGAAAAAAAAAAAAAAACACUUGCUAGGAUGAGCUAGCCAAUCAGCGGUCUACUCAUGUGAAUAUUUAUUAACGGAUUAACAUAAAUAUCCAAUGCAGCCCUUUUUCUCUCAAUAUCAUGAUUUCUGGGUAACAAUUAAGUACCUCACUGUGAUUUAUUUUUGACCGUUUGAAUUAAGUGACAAAUUAAAUUGCUUCUUAGUAAAUAGCAACUUCUCAAGGAAGAAUUUAGCUAGGCCUGGGUGUGGUCUGAGAGAGGGAAGGGGAAACUGGCUCUUAUUGGCAGAGGGGAUUGGAACUCUUAUUGGUCGAGCAACUAAUUUACCACCUGGUGAUGUCACGAGGCAGGCCAAAACUCCAGCCUACCAAAACAGGCAGACUUUUUUUUUUUUUAAAUCACCUUUUACACUAAAAAGGGCAUUAUCACAAUUUGCAUAGUAUUAUGCCAACCUAAGUGAGGAAAUAUAUUUUACCUUUAUUUAACCAGGCUGAGAACAAAUUCUUAUUUUCAAUGACGGUCUAGGAACAGUGUUCAGGGGCAGAACAACAGAUUUGUACCUUGUCAGCUCAGCGGGGUUUGAACUCUUCCGGUUACUAGUCCAACACUCUAACCACUAGGCUACCCUGCCGCCCCUCCACUCUAACCACUAGGCUACCUGCCGCCCCUCCACUCUAACCACUAGGCUACCCUGCCGCCCCUCCACUCUAACCACUAGGCUACCCUGCCGCCCCUCCACUCUAACCACUAGGCUACCCUGCCGCCCCUCCACUCUAACCACUAGACUACCCUGCCGCCCCUCCACUCUACCCACUAGGCUACCCUGCCGCCCCAUAUAAAAACACAAAUUAUUCAUGUUUCUUUUUCACUGCACUGGUUCUUUAAUACCCCAUUGUUUUGGAAGGAACAUUAUUUCACUCAUUGUAAUAUUUCAUAGAAACCUGGAGACACUAGACAGUUACUUCAACAUGCUUUCUGUAUUCACGCCAUUCACCAGCUACCACACUGAGAACUACAGCUUUUACCACAAGUCAAUAUUGCAACAUCACUAAAAACAGAUUACACUUUACGUCAGUUAUUACAAAUAAUUGAAUAAAUAAGCACAUUUUACACUGGAAAUAAAACAUCUACUUGAAUAAGUGUCAUCCCUUGCAUGAGGGUGGGGACAGGGACUGUGGCUAACAGGCCCAUCCCUUGCAUGAUGGUGGGGGGACAGGGACUGUGGCUAACAGGCCCAUCCCUUGCAUGAGGGUGGGGGGACAGGGACUGUGGCUAACAGGCCCGUCCCCCAGUGACAAGUAUGGCUGAAUUCCAGACGGACCCCUAGCCGCUACUCUUUAGCCACUCCUGGAGAUCUGAGAGGACUUUAUAGAUGGAAGUUAUGUCGUUUUCUCCGUGUAGCGAAGCCACGGCUUCAUCCUCCGCCACGUCCUCAUCUCCAGGGCAUCUAUGCAGAGGGUCCGUUGCGGAAGGAGGCGGCUUCUCACUGUGCCCCAACGUCACUCCUAACAGACUCUUAAUGUAGGUGUCAGGGGCUGGAGGCUGGUUACACUUGUCCCUACAACAACACCUAGAGAGUUAGUUAGAAAAAUGUAUGUAAGUCACUCAGUAUUAAAGAAAUUGGCAGUGAUGGUUACUUUUUAAAAAUGUAUUUCCAAUUGUCAUACUUGUGUAAAAGUAUAGAUUCCUUAUUAGAAAGUUACUCAUAUAACCCAUUAAAAUACUACUUGGAGUAAGUGUCCAAAUAUAUUUAGGACCAAAUAUUUUUAAGUAUCAUAAAUAAAUGUAAUUGCUAAAAAAAAAUGUACUUAAUUAUCAAAAAGUAUACAUAAUAUUAAAUUCCUUCUGUUAAGCAAAGCAGGCAGCACCAUUUACUUGUUUUUAAAAAAUGUAUAUAGACAGACAGGGGCCACACUCAGACGUCAUUUACAAAAGACGCAUGCGUUUAGUGAGUCUGCCAGAUCAGAGGCAGAAGUGUUGUCUGAAUAAAGUGUGUGAAAUUGGACCAUUUUCCUGUCCUACUAAGCAUUCAAAAUGUAACAAGUACUUUUGGGUGUCAAGUACUUUUUACAUGAUUUUCUU
rnacentral:lncRNA from 1 species